CAGUUGCUGUGUCCUGCCACAACACUGCAUUUCUCAUGUUCCUCUUCAGAAUUGUUCAAAUGUUUUCAAAGUCUAACUCUUAUAAUGCCAGCCAAAAAGUAUCUUUUCUUUCAUCUUAUAUCAGACUAAGAAGUAAGCCUUUUUAAUUCUUGUUUUUCAAGACGGAUUCCUGGUGGGUGAGAUGAGACCAAACGAGAAGUGGGACACAGACUCCUGUCUUCUCAGCACCGGACUUCCUCGCUGCUAUAUGGAGGUAAAGCUGCGGAGCUCCUGGGGUGACCAGGAGGAGAAGGCAGGAGUCCUCAGAAGGAGGAAACUAGAGUUGACUUUGGGAAGAAGGCAAAGAACAAGUAGAUGGUUGUACUGCUCAGGCACUCAGACUGAACCCAGGCAGCUCAUCCAGUCAUCAACAGCCUUGAAAAUGAGUGAUCCCAGAUCUUGCUUCUGCAAAACUGGAGUAGCAAGACUUGCUACCACUGCCAGAACCCCUAUGUCUCUG